UGGCGGACGGGUGAGUAAUGUCUGGGAAACUGCCUGAUGGAGGGGGAUAACUACUGGAAACGGUAGCUAAUACCGCAUAACGUCGCAAGACCAAAGAGGGGGACCUUCGGGCCUCUUGCCAUCGGACGUGCCCAGAUGGGAUUAGCUAAUAGGUGGGGUAAAGGCUCACCUAGGCGACGAUCCCUAGCUGGUCUGAGAGGAUGACCAGCCACACUGGAACUGAGACACGGUCCAG
rnacentral:rRNA from 1 species